CGAAGAACUCACUAGGCUCUUCCCUAGGAGGACAAAGCCCUGAAUCAGAUGCAGUGCUGCCUGCCCCACUGGGCCAUGGGCCCCGGGCUCCUCUGCUGGGUGCUGCUUUGUCUCCUGGGAGCAGGCCCAGUGGAGGCUGGAGUCACCCAAAGUCCCACACACCUGAUCAAAAUGAGAGGACAGCAAGUGACUCUGAGAUGCUCUCCUAUGUCUGGGCACACCAGUGUGUACUGGUACCAACAGGUCCUGGGCCAAGGCCUCCAGUUCCUCCUUUGGUAUAACAACGAAGCAGAGAGAGAAAGAGGAAACUUCCCUCGUAGAUUUUCAGGUCGCCAGUUCCCUAACUAUAGCUCUGAGCUGAAUGUGAACGCCUCGUUGCUGGAGGACUCGGCCCUGUAUCUCUGUGCCAGCAGCUUGGCACAGCCCAAUCUGCAUUAUUGGGGUCCCUCCUUGGGCACUCAACUUCCUUCUAUCAUAGACUUCACAGAUGCUGGAACAACCUGA